rnacentral:lncRNA from 1 species
GUGCUUGGAAAGACAAUUUCCUUUUCAGCAGCACUGGUAUGGACUUUGGAUGAUCUUGCCUGCUUCUUCAUUUCUCUCUUUCUCAUGAAAGCCUUUCUCUUCUCGGCUGUCAGAAAUCUUGAAAGGUCAUACAAAAAGGCAUACGGAAAGAAGCCCAGCGAGAAGAGUUUUCCUGCUGAUGAAGACAGAAAAGGCACUGCAGCAGAUCCUGCUGGGACAGGUCCCAGGGAGAGAGCACGAGCGUUGAAACCUGCACCAGCAGCCCGGGCGAGGCGGCUCCUUGUGCUAGGGCGCCCUCUAGAGCCGGAGAGCGGAAGCGGCGCGGGCGGCGGGCGGCAGGCGGCGCCUCUGCACCCAAGAAGCGCUUACCCCCAAAACAUAUGCUGGGCCCCAGGUGCCUGCCCUGGGUAACCAGCACGAACGAACAGAGAUACCCCAGGCUGUGUAAAUCCUUGGUGAUCCCCUAGAUUCAUCCUUUGAGUUUUAAAACCGAGAAACUUGAUAUCCAGAGAAGAAAGACCCUUUUGAGGCCAGGAUUCCAUGGGAGGAAGACCCUCUCCUCAGCCCCUUAAUACCCAC